rnacentral:tmRNA from 1 species
GGGGGUGACUGGUUUCGACGUUUAAGUUGAAGCUUCAGUGGCGUGUCGAGGGUGUCGGUUGGCCUCGUAAAAAAGCCGGCAAAAACAAUAAGUGCCAACGAACAGUACGCACUCGCGGCCUAAAUAAAGGCCCGACGUCUUCCCUCUGACACCUGCUGAGAGGAUGAAGACGACGACAGCAGGAUAGUUCCAAAGCCGGGCAGCCGGACCGCGGGGCGAAACUCCAACAGGCUGCUGGCGUUCGUGAUGGCCCUGUCUGCUGACAGUCACGAAGGCGAGACCUUAAAGGCAGACUACACACGUAGAAGCUGUUGUGACGCUUGGGCGGACGGGGGUUCGAUUCCCCCCACCUCCACCA